AUUUUGUCUGUGAUCAUUAUUGAAAUGUUAAAAAGAAAAGAAAAGAAAAAGAAUUAAUCAUCUCUCUUUGAGUUAUUGAUUGGCAUAGUGACUAAUUUAGAACUGAAGUAGGGGAAGAAACAAUAGACUGAAGAUAUUCAGGAAGUAGAUAUUUUUAUGCUGUUUGAAGCUUGAAUGGUCUUGCUCACCAAAAUUAGAUAGAGAAGCUUGAAGGGGUUACUUAUUUUAGUUAGAUAAAGUAGCGGGAUAUCUAAUGUCCCAGCAAUGGAUAUUAUAAUUUCACAAUAACUUUUAGGAUAUAAACAUAUUCUGUAAUAGCCUACAACCUUUUGAAUUCUGAUUAAUAUUGACAAUUGCUAUAAGCUGACUGAAAAUGCAUUUUGCAAAAGAUUAACUCUAAAACAUUGUGAUGAGGUUUAUUGUUCAAA